AUUGUACGCUGGCGGAAUGCUUUACACAUGCAAGUCGAACGGCAGCACGGACUUCGGUCUGGUGGCGAGUGGCGAACGGGUGAGUAAUGUAUCGGAACGUGCCCAGUCGUGGGGGAUAACGUAGUGAAAAUUACGCUAAUACCGCAUACGAUCUAUGGAUGGAAGCGGGGGAUCGCAAGACCUCGCGCGAUUGGAGCGGCCGAUAUCAGAUUAGGUAGUUGGUGGGGUAAGGGCCCACCAAGCCAACGAUCUGUAGCUGGUCUGAGAGGACGACCAGCCACACUGGAACUGAGACACGGUCCAGACUCCUACGGGAGGCAGCAGUGGGGAAUUUUGGACAAUGGGCGAAAGCCUGAUCCAGCCAUUCCGCGUGCAGGAUGAAGGCCCUCGGGUUGUAAACUGCUUUUGUACAGAACGAAAAGGUUUCUACUAAUACUAGGAGCUCAUGACGGUACUGUAAGAAUAAGCACCGGCUAACUACGUGCCAGCCGCCGCCGUAA
rnacentral:rRNA from 1 species